rnacentral:lncRNA from 10 species
GUGAGUUUUGCAGCCAACGUCUGCCAGGAUGGUGUGUGGUAAUGGUGAGCCAGGCAAGGCCGGGGUGGAGCCUCUGUCCACUGCUAGGAGGCUGCAGAUUCCUGAAGGUUCUUCCAGACGUGCCUCUAGAUCUCCCCAUCAUUCCUGUUGGAGUUGAUUUCUAACUGUUCCCUCUCUUUUCACAUCUCUCUCCUCUACACCUCAGACAGAAUUACCCUUCAUAAAUACACAUUGAUCCUAUGGAUUUACUAUUAAAACUUCAUUCAUUGAUCCCCAUGGCUUGCAGCAGCAGCGUUUACGGGGUGCCAGGUACACUGGUCAGUGUGACCCAGUUGGCGAGCUGGUAGGAGGGGGCUGUAGGUGCCACCGCUAAAGGGCAGGAAGCGCCAUCGCGGCGCCUUAUCCCUGGGCUCCAGCUCUGGGGAGUUGGAGUCACUGAGGGAAACCGAGGGAGGCUGGCCUGAGGAAUUCUCACCGUGGCGCCUCCUCUCCAGCCGCGGCCCACCUUCUGCUUCAAUUCGCCUCCUGUCAGCCUUAAUAUUCUCUCCCGGUCUAGACACCAUUUCCUGAAAGUCCCCCUCAUCCCUCCCUUGUUUAUGUUCUUUUCUGUGACCUAAAAUGCUCUUGCACACCCUCCUUCCCAGCCUGCAGAGACUCGUCUUUAUGAAUCUCAUCUUGUUUCUUGGCGCAGCUUCCCUUUUCCCAUCUGGCACGGGAAGCCGGCUGCUCCUCCUGGUUUCUCUGUAUUGGACACGUAUUGAUCACAGCGCUCAGUGUUGCUUAGUGAGGCCUCUGUUCCUCCCACCUCACCGCGGACUCCUGGAAGGUGAAAGGGAGCCAGUGUGGACCAGUGCAGCCUGGCUGCUCUCUACCUCUCCUAUCGCUGGGAAGACCCGUUCAGCAGACCAGCCUGGAGCUGUGGCUUAGGCAAUCCUCAGAUCUUCCAGAGGCUGUCUGUAUGGCUGGCUUGUGGUCCCUGCCUCUGUCUUCAAGGUCAGCAAUGGGGAUUCUGAGGAUAAUGCAUGGACGUCUCUGAGGAGGCACUCUUCUGCCCAUCAUGCACUGUGCUGAGGGAAGCCAGAUGACAAGAUAAACAGAUACAUGAAUUGCAUGCAUUUCUGUAUAUAUGUGCAUUUGUAUACAUACAUAACUUCACAUCAAGAAAUGCAUAUUGACAGAAGCAAAGAAAAUGCUGUAAUGGAGAAUAAAAUGGAGAACAAGUCUGUUGGAAGAGGAGACAUCUGUGCUGAGAACUGAAAGAGAAUACAAUCUCUCUUCCAAUUUCUCUUCUCUAAGAAAAUAGCUUUAUGGUUUAUACUCAUAAGAUUGUUUUGAGGAUUGAAUGAUGUGAAUGAUGUAAAUGAUGUAACAAUUUUUACAGAACAUCUAGUAGUAUCACUGAUGAUUCCCCAAUGCUUACAAUAGUUUCUUCACAGCGGUGGCUGCAGAACAGCGGUGGCUGUAGAACAGCGGAUUUUGGUGACCCGCAAAUGCUGCUGCCUGAUCAUUCCUCUGGAAGUUUUGUCUCAGAGGAGUACCCAGCCGUG